UAAUAAAAAUAUAACGAGUGAGUUACAAACACGGUUGGUUGUAAGAUAGGAAAAAACGAUUAGGCUCUCUGGAUAUCUACUGAUAUUUCCCAUUUGGGUUGAACACCAGCACCAAAUAUGCUUCCUACUGUUUUUUGUAUAAUCCUUAUAAUAUCUUCACGAACUGCUGCCUGCUCUCGUUCACCUCCUGAAACGGUUAAGCC